rnacentral:ncRNA from 2 species
AAAAUUCACUAGGGGGGCCAAUUGGCUGAGAUGAAACACUUGUUUCGAACCCUUUGAACCUGAUCUGGAUCAUACCAGCGGAGGGAAGUGAGGGGCUUAGUUG